rnacentral:rRNA from 2 species
GUGCAAUGGCAUAAGCCAGCUUGACUGCGAGCGUGACGGCGCGAGCAGGUGCGAAAGCAGGUCAUAGUGAUCCGGUGGUUCUGAAUGGAAGGGCCAUCGCUCAACGGAUAAAAGGUACUCCGGGGAUAACAGGCUGAUACCGCCCAAGAGUUCAUAUCGACGGCGGUGUUUGGCACCUCGAUGUCGGCUCAUCACAUCCUGGGGCUGAAGUAGGUCCCAAGGGUAUGGCUGUUCGCCAUUUAAAGUGGUACGCGAGCUGGGUUUAGAACGUCGUGAGACAGUUCGGUCCCUAUCUGCCGUGGGCGCUGGAGAACUGAGGGGGGCUGCUCCUAGUACGAGAGGACCGGAGUGGACGCAUCACUGGUGUUCGGGUUGUCAUGCCAAUGGCACUGCCCGGUAGCUAAAUGCGGAAGAGAUAAGUGCUGAAAGCAUCUAAGCACGAAACUUGCCCCGAGAUGAGUUCUCCCUGAGACUUAGAGUCUCCUGAAGGAACGUUGAAGACGACGACGUUGAUAGGCCGGGUGUGUAAGCGCAGCGAUGCGUUGAGCUAACCGGUACUAAUGAACCGUGAGGCUUAACCUUAC